UACGCAGAGGCGAUUUCGGUCAAAUCAUGUGUAAUCUUAGUGGCGGACUGGUGAGUAACACGUAAGCAACCUGCCUAUCAGAGGGGAAUAACAGUGAGAAAUCAUUGCUAAUACCGCAUACCCUAUUUACAUCGCAUGAAGGAAAUAGGAAAGGAGAAAUCCGCUGAUAGAUGGGCUUGCGUCUGAUUAGAUAGUUGGUGGGGUAAAGGCCUACCAAGUCGACGAUCAGUAGCCGGACUGAGAGGUUGAACGGCCACAUUGGGACUGAGAUACGGCCCAGACUCCUACGGGAGGCAGCAGUCGGGAAUAUUGCACAAUGGAGGAAACUCUGAUGCAGUGACGCCGCGUGCAGGAAGAAGGUUUUCGGAUUGUAAACUGCUUUAGACAGGGAAGAAAAAAGACAGUACCUGUAGAAUAAGCUCCGGCUAACUACGUGCCAGCAGCCGCGGUAAUACGUAGGGAGCAAGCGUUAUCCGGAUUUAUUGGGUGUAAAGGGUGCGUAGACGGGCAAACAAGUUAGUUGUGAAAUCCCUCGGCUUAACUGAGGAACUGCAACUAAAACUAUUUGUCUUGAGUGCGGGAGAGGAAAGUGGAAUUCCUAGUGUAGCGGUGAAAUGCGUACAUAUUAGGAGGAACACCAGUGGCGAAGGCGGCUUACUGGACUGUAACUGACGUUGAGGCUCGAAAGCGUGGGGAGCAAACAGGAUUAGAUACCCUGGUAGUCCACGCGGUAAACGAUGAUCACU
rnacentral:rRNA from 1 species